rnacentral:rRNA from 1 species
CAAUAGUGUAUCUUAAUGUUGUUGCAGUUAAAAAGCUCGUAGUUGAAUUUCUGGGGGGGUGUUUCAAGGCACGUCCUGUUCCUGCCCCCUCAUCCGCUUUGGAACCAGGAGGGGUAUUUAGUUAUCGGCCUGGGGAAGGGGCAUUUUACUUUGAAGAAAUUAGAGUGUUCCAGGCAGGCUUUGCUUGAAUACAUCAGCAUGGAAUAAUGGAAUAGGACAAUGUUCAUUUUAUUGGCUAUUGAACUUGUAAUGAUUAACAGGGACAGUUGGGGGCAUUCGUAUUCAUUUGUCAGAGGUGGAAUUCUUGGAUUAACUGAAGACGAACUAAUGCGAAAGCAUUUGCCAAGGAUGUUUUCAUUAA